rnacentral:sRNA from 1 species
CUACCUUCUCUCACGAACGCCGCCGAUGG